AUCUUGUUUUCUACUUCAUUCUGUUCAAGCCCUGCACCCCGAUUUCUUGGACGGUCGGAUUAGGCCAGGAUUGUGUUCCUUCAAUUCCCAGGUGUGAGGACGGUGCCCUCAGUACCUCUUGUUAUGUGCUCCAAAAUCACUGCUCAGCUGCA